rnacentral:miRNA from 1 species
AGCCACUGCGGAUCCCACUCUCU